rnacentral:rRNA from 1 species
AGAAACCAACAGGGAUUGCCCCAGUAACGGCGAGUGAAGCGGCAACAGCUCAAAUUUGAAAUCUGGCUUCGGCCCGAGUUGUAAUUUGUAGAGGAUGCUUUUGGUGAGGUGCCUUCUGAGUUCCCUGGAACGGGACGCCAGAGAGGGUGAGAGCCCCGUAUAGUCGGCCACCGAUCCUUUGUAAAGCUCCUUCGACGAGUCGAGUAGUUUGGGAAUGCUGCUCAAAAUGGGAGGUAUAUCUCUUCUAAAGCUAAAUAUUGGCCAGAGACCGAUAGCGCACAAGUAGAGUGAUCGAAAGAUGAAAAGCACUUUGAAAAGAGGGUUAAAUAGCACGUGAAAUUGUUGAAAGGGAAGCGCUUGUGACCAGACUUGUGCCGGGCUGAUCAUCCAGUGUUCUCACUGGUGCACUCGACCCGGCUCAGGCCAGCGUCGGUUCUCGCGGGGGGAUAAAAGCUUCGGGAACGUGGCACCUCCGGGUGUGUUAUAGCCCGUUGCUUAAUACCUUCGCGGGGACCGAGGUUCGCGCUCUGCAAGGACGCUGGCAUAAUGGUCAUCAGCGACC